CCGACCGUUUUUUAUCCCGAACCCUUCUCCCAACUCCUCAUCUCACGCGGCCUUCUCCAUCUAACUCCUCUCCGACAAACCCCUCUCUGGCGAACCCCUUCCCGAUUGCCUCGCCUGUUUGCCUUCUUCCUGUCCUCCAUGUGAGGUGACAAAUUCUCCUCUUUUUGUUCCUCCUUCCCUCGACUUCUCUCGCCUUUCUCGUCGGCUUAUUUGAUGGCGUCUGGAAUUUUCUUGCUCUGGUGAUGUGAAUAUGAGACAGAGUGUUCCUUCUCGUUUGUGGUCUGCGCCAAUGCUUUCCUCGACGAGUUGCUUUAGGUUUUCCUCGGCGAUUUGGCUUUUCGGCACAGGUGUUGAUCUUCUAGGGUUUCAGGAUUUAUGCGGUUUGGAAAUUUCAAUGCUUAGUUAGGUUUUUUGGUUCAUAAUGCCGACAUCUGAAAGAAAAGGUGUGUUUUGCGUGUUUAAAUAUGCAAAAUUGCAUUUUUCUGUGAUUCCUAAUUCUCUAUUCGUCGAGCAUUGAGUUGAGUUUGAGCUCUUCGAAACGGUGAUUGUGGAGAAAUACUUGAGGAAGUUGUAGUUUUCCUUUUUACCUUUCACAAAAGUUGGCAGUUUCUUUCCCAGUCUAGUAUGUCGGUAGUUUCAUGAAUCUGCCAUUUUGUUCCUUUUUCUUCAGAUCUCUCACAGUGUUGGCAGUGGGGACAAGAGGUUAGUCUCAUGAAGUUUUGAAGCUACCAGAACAGUUGUCAUUUUAAAUUGAGCUGAAAAAUUCGAUCAACAGAGCAUUGUGCUCCUUGUUAUGUCUGUUGCCCUGGGCAACAGCAUCAAUCUAGUGUAUUGUGUGGUUUCAUUUUUUACUUGAGCAUUUUCCUUGGUACGGUUUUCCAAGGGACUGGUUACAUCUAUCUGGGUUUUGAUUUGAGUCAAAGGCUGCAAUGAAAAUGUUAAAUCCUUAAAUAAAUUCUCUACUCCAUGUGUGUUUUCCUUCUUUACUUCGGCAGACUUUGUGGUGGUAUUCAUGUCCAAGGAACUGGUUAGGUCGGCAGCUGCACAACAAGAAGAGCGCAUGCUAUCCGCAAAGCUUCAUCAAAUGACAAUGCUGGAUUCACGAUUGAUAUGUUAAAGGAGUGUGGAUUAUCUCACAAAUCAAUAAUUUUUGUCUUGGAUGAGUUUGAUCUUUUUGCUCAGGUACGUGUAGUAACUUUUAGCCACUUACAGAAUUCUGUGCAAGUACUUCUUUACUUGCUUGUGUUCCCUUGUCGAUCCUCUUUUGUUGUUCCAUUUUUAUCUCAUUAUGCAAUGGCCUUUGCCUUAUUCUAAAUCUUUGAGCUUUUUGAUACAUGUGUAUGCAGGGGAAAUAAUGUUUACUUUAUAGUUUGCUUGAUGCAAUGCAAACAAUGACUUCACAGGCUGUAGUUAUUGGUGUUAGCUGCCGACUGAUAUGUAGUCUCCACAUCUCUAAUUUUUCUUUACAUUCAUAUUCAUGUCAAUAUACACUGGGCCACCCAAAUUUUUUAAUCUCUUUUAAAAAAGACAAGUAAAAGGAAAAAUAAGGAAACAUUAAAGUUAAGAAAGUGGAAGGAAACUAAACAAUUGUUUUUAUGUAUAUUAUUAUUCUUAUUAUUCCACUUUUUGACUCCUUAAUUUUUCUUCCAAGCAUUGCUGGUUAUACUUGAUAAAGCCUCAUGUCUUUCAGGAUGCAGACUAACUUCUUGAAAAAAGAGUUCAGUGUAGGUUUUGUCCUAGUCUCAAGCCGACAAUCCUUUUUGAUCAGUAUAUCUAGUAGAAGUAAGCAUGCAGAUCGCUGUCUUCGAGGCCGGCUAGCUAUUUUGUACUUUUUUUAUUUUAAAUUCGAAUGUCACUAUCUACUUUGAAACAGAACUAUUUAGUCUUUGUGUAUAGUUGAAUUCUCCUGUAAAUACUAAUACUUUGUAAUUGAAUUCUA